CUGGGCCGAGCCACCUUGCGGGGCCGGCUGGGCCGAGCCACCUUGCGGGGCCGGCUGGGCCGAGCCACCUUGCGGGGCCGGCUGGGCCGAGCCACCUUGCGGGGCCGGCUGGGCUGAGCCACUAUGCAAUUUUAUACAGUACCAGUCAAAAGUUUGGACACCUACUCAAAGGGUUUUUCUUUAUUUUUACUAUUUUCUACAUUGUAGAAUAAUAGAAUACAUCAAAACUGUGUGUGUGUGUGGAGUCGUAUAGUAAUCAAAAAUAUGUUAAACAAAUGAAAAUAUGUUUUUAAGAUUCUUCAAAGUAGCCACCUUUGCUUUGAUGACAGCUUUGCAUUCUUGCAACUGACUUCAUGAGGUAGUCACCUGAAAUGCUUUUCCAACAGUCUUGAAGGAGUUCCCACAUAUGCUGAGCAUUUGUUGGUUGCUUUUCCUUCACUCUGCAGUCCAACUCAUCCUAAACCAUCUCAAUUGGGUUGAGGUCAGGUGAUCUGGGUCAUUGUCCUGUUAAAAACAAAUGAUAGUCCCACUAAGCCAAACCAGAUGGGACGUUGUAUCGCUGCAGAAUGCUGUGGUAGCCAUGCUGGUUAAGUGUGCCUUUCAUUCAAAUAAAUCACAGUGUCACCAGCAAAGCACCUCCACACCAUCACACCAUAACACCUCCUCCAUGCUUCACGGUGGGAACUAGACAUGUGGAGAUCAUCCGUUCACCUACUCUGCAUCUCACAAAGACAUGGCGGUUGGAACCAAAAAUAAAAAAUAUGGACCCAUCAGACCAAAGGACAGAUUUCCACUGGUCUAAUGUCCAUUGCUCGUGUUUCUUGGCCCAAGCAAGUCUCUUCUUCUUAUUGGUGUCCUUUAGUAGUGGUUUCUUUGCAGCAAUUCAACCAUGACGGUCUGAUUCACGCAGUCUCCUCUGAACAGUUGAUGUUGAGAUGUCUGUUACUUGAACUCUGAAGCAUUUAUUUGAGCUGCAAUUUCUGAGGCUGAACUUAACCUCAGUAGUAAAGGUAACUCUGGGUCUUCCUUUCCUGUGGCGGUCCUCAUGAGAGACAGUUUCAUCAUAGUGCUUGAUGGUUUUUGCGACUGCACUUGAAGUUCAAAGUUCUUAAUUUUCCAGAUUGACUGACCUUCAUGUCUUAAAGUCAAGAUGGACUGUCGUUUCUCUUUGCUAAUUUGAGCUGUUCUUGCCAUAACAUGGACUUAGCCCUAUUUGGUAAAAUACCAUCUUCUGUAUACCACCACUACCAUGUCACAACACAACUGAUUGGCUCAAACACAUUAAGUGGGAAAGAAAUUCCAUAAAUGAACGUUUAACAAUGCACACCUGUUAAUUGAAAUGCAUUCCAGGUGACUAACACAUGAAGCUGGUUGAGAGAAUACCAAGAGUGUGCAAAGCUGUUAUCAAGGAAAAGGUUGUCUUGAAGAAUCUCGUAAAAUAUUUUGAUUUGUUUAACACUUUUGGUUACAUGAUUUCAUAGUGAAGACAUCAAAACUAUUCUACAAUAUAGAAAAUAGUAAAAAUAAAGAAAAACCCUGGAAUGAGUAAGUGUCCAAGCUUUUGACAGGUAGUUUGUGUAUGUAUGUGAGAAACUUUAUUUGUUAUCAUUUAUGGCAAUGUUUUGCUCUAGAUUGCAGGAAAUGGCAGUUACAGGUGUUAAAAAAUACAACUAUCCCGGAGUCCAAAACCCUGGUGGAGAACCCUGAAAUAAGGUUUUGUGUUAUUGAUUUUUAUAAUAUAUACGAUUGGUAGGUCGUAAUAUGGAAGGUAAUAUGUUGCUAGAUUGUGUAAUGAACACGAUGGGAGACAGAGCUGGUUUAAAGAGCAGGGCGCAGGUGUUUAUUGGAGGAGGCAGGUAGCUGGGUCCAGGGGCAGGCAGAAGGUCAUACACAGGAGGAGGCAGGUAGCUGGGUUCAGGGGCAGGCAGAAGGUCAUACACAGGAGGAGGCAGGUAGCUGGGUCCAGGGGCAGGUGGCUGGGUCCAGGGGCAGGUGGCUGGGUCCAGGGGCAGGCAGAAGGUCAUACACAGGAGGAGGCAGGUAGCUGGGUUCAGGGGCAGGCAGAAGGUCAUACACAGGAGGAGGCAGGUAGCUGGGUCCAGGGGCAGGCAGAAGGUCAUACACAGGAGGUCCAAAAGGGCAACAGUGCAGGCAGGGAAAAGGCUGGUAACGUAGUCCGGGAGACCAGGCAAUAGGUAGAUAACAGGCUGAAGUACAGGUAGAUAAUAGGCAAAAACUAUCAUUCACGGGAAAAACAGCUCUCCGAAAGAAGUGUCACAAAACAAACAAUACCUCACAGUGAAAGAACUGAACUAAAUAGUGUGUGAUAAUGACAUACAGGUGUGUGAACAGGUGAUCAGAAUUCAGGUGAUUGGGAUCUGGAGAGUGAGCUGUGUUCAGGGGAUCUAUGUGUUUGAGUGUGAGAGCUGGAAGCAGACGUUACAGAUUGGCCCUAUCUAGAAGAGACCCCUACCCCCUGCUCUUGAGUCUAGACCCUUGUGUGGAUCUUGGAGAAUUGUAUGUGUGUAUAAGUAAUAUGUUAAUAACAUCACUUUUCCCUCUGACAGGAUAGGUGGAAGUUACACCCUAUUCCUAUCCAAUCACCUCUGAUCUAAGGUUUAGACUUGAGUAGGGGCUAGGGUUGUUUCUGGACGGGGCUAGAUUGUUUUGUGAUGUCAUUGAUAUUUUCUACCUGCCAGUAUCAACAUUAUCAUGCUCUAGUAAUGUUUCAAUACCAGUCUUGGUGGUUAUGGCUCAGCCAGGUUGAACUGUAGUGGUAGUUAGGGCUCAGCCAGGUUGAACUGUAGUGGUAGUUAGGGCUCAGCCAGGUUUUUUUCAUAUUUUGAAAGAUGGGGGGGUAAAUUACCUCCAUUUAAUUUACACUUCUUUGUUUUGUUCAUUUCUAUGAUGAUGUGAUUGGGAUCACACAGGUCAUUGGGGUUAUUCCAAAGAGCUAGAUCAUAAAGUUAGCCAGCAGCUAACUCUUAAUAAACAGUCACAGAUAUCUCUUGAUUUUUCUGUUUUAAUUUAGAAACAGAAACUUGACUUGUUUUUUAUUUUUUAUUUUAUUUUAGUUAAUUAUACUGUGCUAAUUUCAAGUGUAAUAAUUCUGGGAAAUGGGAUGUUAUUUCAGAAUAUUUAGAACAGUUAACAUGAUUAAUGUAUAUAUAUCCUGCUUUCUGGAUGAAAAAACCAUGAGGCCCUGCGUCGUCUGUGGUGCGUAUGGAUGAUGAACGUCAUGUUGACUACAGUGAGUCAGAACAUUUAGAAAGAACUAGAUAAGAAUGCAUCCAUCUUUUUUUGUAUAUUGAAAAAAAAAAAUACUGACUAUUAACCAACUGUGUGUUUUAUUCUCAGACCAAUUAA
ensembl:lncRNA